rnacentral:rRNA from 1 species
UGGGGAAUAUUGCGCAAUGGGGGCAACCCUGACGCAGCAACGCCGCGUGAGUGAAGAAGGCCUUUGGGUUGUAAAGCUCUUUCGGCCGAGAAGAAGGGUAAUGUGGUGAAUAGUCAUAUUAUUUGAUGGUAUCGGAAGAAGAAGCACCGGCAAACUUCGUGCCAGCAGCCGCGGUAAUACGAAGGGUGCGAGCGUUGUUCGGAAUUACUGGGCGUAAAGGGUUUGUAGGCAGAGAUGUAAGUCAAGUGUGAAAUCCCCGAGCUAAACUUGGGACGUGCACUUGAGACUGUGUUUCUUGAGUAUCGUAGAGGGUGGUGGAAUUGUAGGUGUAGGAGUGACAUCCGUAGAGAUCUGCAGGAACAUCAGAGGCGAAGGCGACCACCUGGGCGAUUACUGACGC